rnacentral:lncRNA from 1 species
UGCCCCCUAUGGUUUUCACUAUGAAAGCAGGCAUUAUGGCCCAUCCUUUAUUUGCACUAAUAAAAUAUUCCACGAGUUGGCAAGUGAUGCUGAUGUUCCGCCACCUCUUUAAAAGAUCAUCAGAAGGGCGGGAAAUUCUGAACCUAGCUAGUUUUGUCAGUUUUUCGUCAGUUUCUCUACCAGAAAAUAGGGGGUUAAACAUUUCUAGCUACAUGUAAAAAGCCAUUUGAUGACUUAAAACAAAUAUCCUCAAUUGCAAUAUUCAGUUAUCCUUUGUCAAUAAGUCAUAUUGAGAGCAAAAUUAUAAAAAGAUCACCAUUACUCCAUGAGCUGAGAAGCUUAAAACCGCAAAUGUACUGAAAAGGAAAACUGAUACUUUUUAUUACCA